GACGAACGCUGGCGGCGUGCCUAAUACAUGCAAGUCGAACGCAGUGGGGACGGGUGAGUAACACGUGGGUAACCUCCCAUCAGAGGGGAUAACACUUGGAAACAGGUGCUAAACCGAUACUGAUGGAUGGACCCGCGGUGCAUUAGCUAGUUGGGGAGGUAACGGCUCACCAAGGCCACGAUGCAUAGCCGUCCUGAGAGGGUGUUCGGGCACACUGGGACUUGGGAACGGCCCAGACUCCUACGGGAGGCAGCAGUAGGGAAGUGUCGGCAAUGGACGAAAGUCUUACCGAGAAACGCCGGGGGAGUGAAGAAGGUUUUCGGAGCGUAAAACUCUGGUGUUAGAGAAGCGGUAUCUAACCAGAAAGCCACGGCUAACUACGUGCCAGCAGCCGCGGUAAUAC
rnacentral:rRNA from 1 species